rnacentral:rRNA from 1 species
CCUACGGGUGGCUGCAGUGAGGAAUAUUGGGCAAUGGGGGCAACCCUGACGCAGCCAUGCCGCGUGAGGGAAGAAGGUCUUCGGAUUGUAAAGCUCUUUUGUACGUGACGAUGAUGACGGUAGCGUCUAAAUAAGCACCGGCAAACUUCGUGCCAGCAGCCGCGGUAAUACGGAGGGUGCGAGCGUUGUUCGGAAUGACUGGGCGUAAAGGGAGUGUAGGCGGGUAUGUAAGAUAGCGGUGAAAUGCCGGGGCUCAACCCCGGAACUGCCAUUAUGACUAUGUAUCUAGAGUGAUGGAGAGGAAAGCGGAAUACCCAGUGUAGAGGUGAAAUUCGUAGAUAUCGGGUAGAACACCGGUGGCGAAGGCGGCUAUCUGGCCAUUUACUGACGCUGAGGCUCGAAAGCAUGGGGAUCAAACAGGAUUAGAUACCCUGGUAGUC